ensembl:processed_transcript
AGCUUCAGAGCUGAUGGAGAGACAGAGAGCACGCAACUGGAAAAAAUCAGACAUGGAAUUCAUGGAUUAACUGGUCACCAAUUGUUUCAGCAUUGCGUAUUGAAUAAUACAACCUUCUUCCACUGCCGUGAAAUGUCAACAGCUGCUCUCCCACUAGAUAGGGCGUAGCUUUCCACAGGUCGGCCAUUUUCUUUCUAUUCAAGAUGGUUACAUUCCACAAUAGUACUUUUACCUUCUUGCCACAUCAUGCAGCCUGCUAAACCAUUGUGUUUAUAUAUUUUACCUUUCAAGAAUCCUAGCUGUGUACAGUUUAGAACAGUAAUUUUCAAAUAGGGUAUAUAUAUNNNNNNNNNNNNACAUAGAACACUGUACCAGGUGUUAACUGUUUUUUUUUUUUGUUGUUGUUGAUGAUUCUGACAUUCCAGUUGUGUGUUUAAAAGGAAGUACUGAAGGGGUUAAUGCAAAAUUUUUCUGUUCCUCAAGUAUUCAGAGAGUUAAAGCUGUGUGAAUUUGGUUCCUGGAAUUCUCUAGAGGGAAAUAAGAGGGAAAUGUAAGAAAUGCAUGAGAUGCAGAAAUGUUUUCAAUUAUGUUGCUGGAAGUAAUACAAUCUCGGGAUCUAAAGGAUGGAGGGUAAGUCUCAAUACAUGCUACCACUGUCAUUAUAUCUUCAAGACGUGAAAACAUCGCUGUGGUCCAUCUCUAUUUACUGCAAGCAGAAGGGUCAAGACAGAAAACAUAGAGGCUUUUAGUAGGAGGUAAGUUAAACAGUAACAGAAGUAUUUGACAGUUAAAAAUCACCUGCUGUUCGCUGUUUCACCCCUUACUCCAUCCCAGUUCCAUCCACCCUCCCACCCCCUGCCUAUUGACUUUUAACCACAGUCACUGGUCUUUUCUGAUUUUGGACAGAAAAAGAGGGUAAGUAUCAGGUUGCUUUCUUUGCCUGCUGUUAUUGCAAGGGACUCUUUUGGCUCAUAGACACAGCUCCAGUCAUUUCCUGACUUGCCAUAUUAGGCUGUGAUUUGUUUAUGACUGGAGUCUGGUUUCCCUGGCAACAGAAGCUCACCAGGGCAUGCGCAUUGGCUCAUCUGCAGUGGCAGAAUGCGGCUGUGGGGCCUUGGGGAGGGAUCUCCCCCCCCUCCACACCCCCGCAGUGACUGGAAGAGGUAUUCUACAGACGUCAGUUUUUCUCUUCUUAAAUUGCGACUGUUAACUGCAGAUAAGCAUAGCAUUUUUUUAAAUCCUCACAAUACUUCGAGAUUUCUCCCUUGUUUUCUCUCCUAGCACAGCCACAGUCAAUAGGUUCACCAGUGAUCAUGACGUUUUUCCAGUUAUUAUGGAAAAUAUCCCUAGGGCCCAAAGGGAUCCUUAUAGUGUGGCUAUAGAAAACAAAUGCCCUGGUUUCAAAGCUCCAUCUCUUUCUUGAUAGUUGUAUGAAAUUCUUUAGUCAUCCUGUGUCUCAGCCUCCUCAGCCAUAAAAUAUGAAUAAUAACAGCACAUUUAGAAAAGUGUUACAUAUUAACCAUUAAAAAGUAUUCUUUAUUGUUAUUUGUAGAUGUCAAAAAAUUAUGUGGCACAGACUGGUGCCUGCACUGUACAGCCAAUGCUGAACAACUUACAGACACAGGCAUUUAACCCUACAGAAUGCAGACACCUCACAUAGCCCACAGAUGACCUACAGCAGAGUGUUGCACUCUCCUGAGGCUCAUUACUAUAUACCAUAGCAAAAGAAUAGCCCCUUAUCUCAUGGACACCUUCCAUGACAUUAGGCUCUUUUAGAUUGCACACAAGUUCUCUUCAACACAGAGACCAAGCUAAAGGACAUUUAUUAGAAACACAUGGUGCAUCUUACCUCACCAUGAAGACAUUGUCUGUAACAAAGAGAAAAUCUCAACACUAUAGCUCACCUCCACAUCACACAGACUCUAUCCAGAACACACAAAAGUAUAUAGACUUAUUCCGUACAACAUAGAUUCUUCC